GCAAUAAUAGCUUAAAAAGAGCAUUGGUCUUGUAAGCCAAAAGUGAAAUUUAUAUAUUCUUAUUGCU
rnacentral:tRNA from 1 species